rnacentral:misc_RNA from 1 species
GAUGAAGAACGCAGCGAAAUGCGAUAAGUAGUGUGAAUUGCAGAAUUCAGUGAAUCAUCGAAUCUUUGAACGCACAUUGCGCCUCCUGGUAUUCCGGGAGGCAUGCCUGUUCGAGCGUCAUUAAAAUCACUCAAGCUUAGGUUUGCCAAUUGCUUGGUCUUGAAGAUGGAAGCUAAGUAAUUAGAAUCCUCUUCGAAAUCCAAUGGCGAAGACCCUUGCUCUCCCAAGUGUAGUAAUAACUUAUUCACUGAAGGAAGCGAGUAAUCUUCCGCCGUAACCCCCAUAUUUUCUAUGAUUGACCUCGGAUCAGGUAGGGAUACCCGCUGAACUUAAGCAUAUCAAUAAGCGGAGGA